GACGAACGCUGGCGGCGUGCUUAACACAUGCAAGUCGAACGGAAAGGCCCUGCUUUUGUGGGGUGCUCGAGUGGCGAACGGGUGAGUAACACGUGAGUAACCUGCCCUUGGCUUUGGGAUAACUUCAGGAAACUGGGGCUAAUACCGGAUAGGAGCUCCUGCUGCAUGGUGGGGGUUGGAAAGUUUCGGCGGUUGGGGAUGGACUCGCGGCUUAUCAGCUUGUUGGUGGGGUAGUGGCUUACCGAGGCUUUGACGGGUAGCCGGCCUGAGAGGGUGACCGGCCACAUUGGGACUGAGAUACGGCCCAGACUCCUACGGGAGGCAGCAGUGGGGAAUAUUGCACAAUGGGCGGAAGCCUGAUGCAGCAACGCCGCGUGCGGGAUGACGGCCUUCGGGUUGUAAACCGCUUUCGCCUGUGACGAAGCGUGAGUGACGGUAAUGGGUAAAGAAGCACCGGCUAACUACGUG
rnacentral:rRNA from 1 species